ACUAAGCGUACACGGUGGAUGCCCUGGCAGUCAGAGGCGAUGAAGGACGUGCUAAUCUGCGAUAAGCGUCGGUAAGGUGAUAUGAACCGUUAUAACCGGCGAUUUCCGAAUGGGGAAACCCAGUGUGAUUCGUCACACUAUCAUUAACUGAAUCCAUAGGUUAAUGAGGCGAACCGGGGGAACUGAAACAUCUAAGUACCCCGAGGAAAAGAAAUCAACCGAGAUUCCCCCAGUAGCGGCGAGCGAACGGGGAGCAGCCCAGAGCCUGAAUCAGUGUGUGUGUUAGUGGAAGCGUCUGGAAAGGCGCGCGAUACAGGGUGACAGCCCCGUACACAAAAAUGCACAUGCUGUGAGCUCGAUGAGUAGGGCGGGACACGUGGUAUCCUGUCUGAAUAUGGGGGGACCAUCCUCCAAGGCUAAAUACUCCUGACUGACCGAUAGUGAACCAGUACCGUGAGGGAAAGGCGAAAAGAACCCCGGCGAGGGGAGUGAAAAAGAACCUGAAACCGUGUACGUACAAGCAGUGGGAGCACGCUUAGGCGUGUGACUGCGUACCUUUUGUAUAAUGGGUCAGCGACUUAUAUUCUGUAGCAAGGUUAACCGAAUAGGGGAGCCGAAGGGAAACCGAGUCUUAACUGGGCGUUAAGUUGCAGGGUAUAGACCCGAAACCCGGUGAUCUAGCCAUGGGCAGGUUGAAGGUUGGGUAACACUAACUGGAGGACCGAACCGACUAAUGUUGAAAAAUUAGCGGAUGACUUGUGGCUGGGGGUGAAAGGCCAAUCAAACCGGGAGAUAGCUGGUUCUCCCCGAAAGCUAUUUAGGUAGCGCCUCGUGAAUUCAUCUCCGGGGGUAGAGCACUGUUUCGGCAAGGGGGUCAUCCCGACUUACCAACCCGAUGCAAACUGCGAAUACCGGAGAAUGUUAUCACGGGAGACACACGGCGGGUGCUAACGUCCGUCGUGAAGAGGGAAACAACCCAGACCGCCAGCUAAGGUCCCAAAGUCAUGGUUAAGUGGGAAACGAUGUGGGAAGGCCCAGACAGCCAGGAUGUUGGCUUAGAAGCAGCCAUCAUUUAAAGAAAGCGUAAUAGCUCACUGGUCGAGUCGGCCUGCGCGGAAGAUGUAACGGGGCUAAACCAUGCACCGAAGCUGCGGCAGCGACGCUGAUGCGUUGUUGGGUAGGGGAGCGUUCUGUAAGCCUGUGAAGGUGUGCUGUGAGGCAUGCUGGAGGUAUCAGAAGUGCGAAUGCUGACAUAAGUAACGAUAAAGCGGGUGAAAAGCCCGCUCGCCGGAAGACCAAGGGUUCCUGUCCAACGUUAAUCGGGGCAGGGUGAGUCGACCCCUAAGGCGAGGCCGAAAGGCGUAGUCGAUGGGAAACAGGUUAAUAUUCCUGUACUUGGUGUUACUGCGAAGGGGGGACGGAGAAGGCUAUGUUGGCCGGGCGACGGUUGUCCCGGUUUAAGCGUGUAGGCUGGUUUUCCAGGCAAAUCCGGAAAAUCAAGGCUGAGGCGUGAUGACGAGGCACUACGGUGCUGAAGCAACAAAUGCCCUGCUUCCAGGAAAAGCCUCUAAGCAUCAGGUAACAUCAAAUCGUACCCCAAACCGACACAGGUGGUCAGGUAGAGAAUACCAAGGCGCUUGAGAGAACUCGGGUGAAGGAACUAGGCAAAAUGGUGCCGUAACUUCGGGAGAAGGCACGCUGAUAUGUAGGUGAAGUCCCUCGCGGAUGGAGCUGAAAUCAGUCGAAGAUACCAGCUGGCUGCAACUGUUUAUUAAAAACACAGCACUGUGCAAACACGAAAGUGGACGUAUACGGUGUGACGCCUGCCCGGUGCCGGAAGGUUAAUUGAUGGGGUCAGCGCAAGCGAAGCUCUUGAUCGAAGCCCCGGUAAACGGCGGCCGUAACUAUAACGGUCCUAAGGUAGCGAAAUUCCUUGUCGGGUAAGUUCCGACCUGCACGAAUGGCGUAAUGAUGGCCAGGCUGUCUCCACCCGAGACUCAGUGAAAUUGAACUCGCUGUGAAGAUGCAGUGUACCCGCGGCAAGACGGAAAGACCCCGUGAACCUUUACUAUAGCUUGACACUGAACAUUGAGCCUUGAUGUGUAGGAUAGGUGGGAGGCUUUGAAGUGUGGACGCCAGUCUGCAUGGAGCCGGCCUUGAAAUACCACCCUUUAAUGUUUGAUGUUCUAACGUUGACCCGUGAUCCGGGUUGCGGACAGUGUCUGGUGGGUAGUUUGACUGGGGCGGUCUCCUCCUAAAGAGUAACGGAGGAGCACGAAGGUUGGCUAAUCCUGGUCGGACAUCAGGAGGUUAGUGCAAUGGCAUAAGCCAGCUUGACUGCGAGCGUGACGGCGCGAGCAGGUGCGAAAGCAGGUCAUAGUGAUCCGGUGGUUCUGAAUGGAAGGGCCAUCGCUCAACGGAUAAAAGGUACUCCGGGGAUAACAGGCUGAUACCGCCCAAGAGUUCAUAUCGACGGCGGUGUUUGGCACCUCGAUGUCGGCUCAUCACAUCCUGGGGCUGAAGUAGGUCCCAAGGGUAUGGCUGUUCGCCAUUUAAAGUGGUACGCGAGCUGGGUUUAGAACGUCGUGAGACAGUUCGGUCCCUAUCUGCCGUGGGCGCUGGAGAACUGAGGGGGGCUGCUCCUAGUACGAGAGGACCGGAGUGGACGCAUCACUGGUGUUCGGGUUGUCAUGCCAAUGGCACUGCCCGGUAGCUAAAUGCGGAAGAGAUAAGUGCUGAAAGCAUCUAAGCACGAAACUUGCCCCGAGAUGAGUUCUCCCUGACUCCUUGAGAGUCCUGAAGGAACGUUGAAGACGACGACGUUGAUAGGCCGGGUGUGUAAGCGCAGCGAUGCGUUGAGCUAACCGGUACUAAUGAACCGUGAGGCUUAACC
rnacentral:rRNA from 1 species